rnacentral:rRNA from 1 species
AUGUCUUUUCUUGGUUCUCUACCAGAAACCACACUACUAGUUUUGUUGUUAAGCUUAUCUGGUGAUCACAAGAUAGAAAUCCACUACUACUACCUACCAUCAGUAGUAGUAGUACAUGUUUGCAUGAAAGAGAAAGGGAAAGAGAAAGCAAUAGCACUCUGCACUGUCAAUGGAAUUGGAGGGGACCUCUCUUCCAUUCAUGGUGUGAAUCCACCAAUUCCUCCGAAGAAAGAGAAAGGCCAAUCUGUCAAUUCCAUGCUCCUUUCAGUGGUUCACUUCACUUCACCCUCCCAACUCUUCCACUUCUUUCUCGCCCAAUUCUUUCCGUUCCAAUGUAUCUUUGUCAGUUGUGAAACGAAUCUCUCUCUCUUGGAUUGCGUUCACGGGUGUUAA